GAUGAACGCUAGCGGCAGGCCUAAUACAUGCAAGCUGAACGGUAAAUGUUGUAGCAAUACGAUAUGAGAGUAGCGUAAGGGUUCGUAACACGUAUGCAAUCUACCCGCAACAGGAGGAUAGCUCCCCGAAAGGGGAACUAAUACUACAUAAGAUCACUAGAGGGCAUCUGAUUGUGAUUAAACUCCACGGGGUUGCGGAUGAGCAUGCGGCUGAUUAGUUAGUUGGUGAGGUAACGGCUCACCAAGACGAUGAUCCGUAGGGGAACGGAGAGGUUGAUCCCGCACACUGGCACUGAGAUACGGGCCAGACUCCUACAGGAGGCAGCAGUAGGGAAGAGUGGUCAAUGGGUGAGAGCCUGAACCAGCCAUGACGCGUGCAGGAAGAAAGCCUUCUGGGUUGUAAACUGCUUUUGCCAGGGGAUAAAAUACCCAUGCGUGGGAAAUUGAAGGUACCUGGUGAAUAAGCCACGGCUAACUACGUGCCAGCCGCCGCUGUAACAC
rnacentral:rRNA from 1 species